rnacentral:siRNA from 1 species
GUAGGUGGCCUAACUACCCCCUGA